GUCUGGGAAGGCGGGUAACACCUGGAGUCCGCAUGCCGAAUUUCGGGAUUUGCUAAAUGCAAGAAAUUAUCAUCUUGUAUCAUUUUUAAAAGUGCAUACUCCUCCCUAACUUAGCUUUGGGCUAAUUAAAAACUCAGAUGUGAUUGUGAUGUAUCACAUAAAUCUGACAUCCAUGCAUGUGGGUAGUCUUUCUGGCGUUCUCAAGCUCUUCUCUCAUGUAACGUUGUACAGAUGCUACAUCAAGCACCAAGUAAUGUCACCCUCAACUUCGCAACAACUUUGUCGAGUGUUUCAGCAUACCUCACACAGCUGUUCCAGUCUCAUCUGUCCUCGAUCGUGGCUUAUCUCUUUACAUAUUAGCGCCUCCCACCAGAGAUCCUAUCGGGGAGAUGAGGAGAACAACAGAGGAGUGAGGAUGGACGAAUGUUUGAAGAAAUGAGAAAAUAUAUGAUCAACACUGUUACUCUUUAUAACACCAAUCAUGAGUGGUAAAAUAGUAGAGUGAAAUGUAGUUACAUACCAAAGUAAACUAUGAAUUAUAUAUACUGUUUAAUACCAGUUUUGAUAACUGCACAACAAAAACAAAACUUGCCCUGCACACAAAAUAGUUGCAUGUCACAUUUUUUUUCUUUAAACCAAGAACUGGCUAGCAUUUGCUCCACUUUUUUCUGCUGUGAAAAUAUGUUAACGUAGUUUUGAAAAAAAAGUCACAAGACUUGAGUAACAAAAAAUGCAAAAUUAGCUAAUGAUAACUAAAAAAAUAUAUCCAACUUUUAUGUUUUUUCAAGUUAGAUGAAGGAUUUUUUUGAACAUCUGAAGCUUGUGGUUUUUAGGCUGGCACAAGACAACACAUUUGCGACAAAUCAUUCUUGUAGCCUACAAACAAUCCUCUUGAAGAAGGCAGAGGGCUGGCAAUUAUCUUGCACCUCCAAAUCUGUUGCCAUCGUUAUUGCACCGUGGUUCACUUUCCUCUAUGUCGCCGCUGUGCUGUUCCUGUUAUGAGACCCCCAGAUCUUAAUCAAUGAA